rnacentral:lncRNA from 10 species
GCAUUCUGUUUGCACUGCAGGACUGUGGAGAGUUUUCUAUUUACUUCUUUCUUAGGAAGAGAAUCUUUCAUACUGAGUCUGUCCUUCAAAAGGACUCAGUAGAAUCAUGAAUAAUAUGAAUCUUUCUACAUAAUAUUAGAUGCUCCCUUGCAGUACUCUUUAUUUCACAUUCAUUGUCAUAUUUUAAAGUUUUCUUUUUUGUAUAUUUAACCUAUGUUGAUAGUAAGAAUAAGUUAGUUACUAUUUCUCAGUUUAUUUACUUCCAAAUAAACGUCUGGCUGUAUAGUGUAUUUUGCAAUUCAUUUUUUACUGAAUCUUCCUAAAACUUGUGACUAACUCUCCUGCUGGAAAAGAAACAAAAAAUGAGCAAGCUGAACAAAUAUUAUAAGAAAAUAUUUUGAACCGACACUGAACCAGGCAAGCGGUGAUGAUAUGAGAGGUCAUGACCCAGAGACGAAGGAAGGAGCAGAGAUAUGCCUGCAAACUCAAAAGCUGCUUUUCCCAAGGAAGGAUUUUGUUUACCCAAAAGCCGUGCAAGGAAGACUAGAAAGGCUGAGUAGAGUGCUUGCUAAUCUCCUGGGUCUGUGAUGACAAAAGAUGAAAUUCAGAGCCCAUUAAAGAAGAAACCUGUGAAAUAUGCCAGAAUUAAAGUUAGGAUUCUUGAAGGACUGCACAUUAGCAGUAUGUGUAAAUCAAAAAAUAGAACAGCUCCCACAAAGAAUUCAGCCCAGAAUAAAAGUAUAUUUUAUGUGUGGAACAAAAUUAAAUAUAUUAAAGUGAAAUUUGACAGAAUACAAAAGAGAUAUUCUGAAAACCCUAAUAGCUAUUGAAACAUUUCACACAUGUAUCUCAUGCGUUAAUAGAAGCAGCCAAAAAUAUCAUUAUGGGGACUGGAAAUGUAAACAAUAUGAUUCAAAAAAUUGACCAAAUUGACAUAUAUUGAAUGCUAGUUGCAGUGAAUACAGAAUAGAAGGUCUUUCAGAUGUGUUAGAAUAGUCACCAAACUUAAUCAGACGUAGGAGCAUGAAGUUAUUCUCCAUAAAUGUCAGCGAAUCAAAUGUACACAUGUUGUGGUACCUGCUAACAUAUUAAAAUGUGUGGAUGCUGUUUUAGUCAUGGUAAGAAGGAAAUACACUCAAAUACAUAAGGCAGAUGGGAAGAAAGACUAGAAAUAAAUGAACAAAACAACAUCUUGAGAAGAGAGCAAAAAAAGCCUGGUUUCAUCCAAUGCAUACAUUAUUGAAAUAGAAAGAAGUAUUCAAUAGAGAAUCAAUAAAGCCAAAUUGUAGUACUUUCACAAGAUUAAUAAACCUAAUAAAACUAUAAUAAAACUGAGAAGUACAUGGAGAGAAGGUAGAAAUUAUAAGCAUCAAGGAUGAAAAAAUGGCCAUUAGUAGUAGUUCUAGAGAUAGUAUAAAGAUUAAAAUAAGAUGAUCAGACAAGUUGAUACUAAUAACUUGGAAUAUUUGAUUAAGUUGAAAAAUUCCUUGAAAAAUACAAUCCCUAGUUUGACUCAAGAAGACAAAAAUUAUGAUAUCUCUUAAAUAAAUUUUAUCCUAAUGUGAUCAUCUUCCUACAGUGAAAAUUCAAACUCAAAAAAUUCACAAAUGAAUUUUCCAAACGCUGAAAGAAAAAAUAUGUAACUUAAAAAUUCUUUGAGAUAUUUUUAAAAAAGAAGAAACAAUGUCCAACUAUUUUAUGAGACCAGAAUAACAUUUACAACAAAACAUAUAAAGACAUGACUCAAAAGUUAAAUUGAAAGGUAAUAUUUACUAUAAAUAUAUAUUCAAAAGUCAUGAAAAAAACACUACCAAACUUGUUUCAGUAAUAUAAGUCAGCUUGUGAAAAUUAGAGUUAUUCAUUAUUCUGUCAGACUGAAAGAAAGCCACAUGAUCCUUUCAAUUGCUUUACCAUGGCAUUUGAUAAAGUCCAAGUAUAUAAGCAUUCAAAAAAUGUUUAACAAACUAUGAAUGACAGGAACUUACAUCAUCAGAUAAUGCCUGUAGUAAAAAAAAAUAGCUGCAGACAAACCUCAUGUUCAUUCAUGAAACUUUCCCCCUAAGAAAUUAAGAAUAAGAAAACAUUGCUUUCUGUUAAAAUUUAAAGGUGUUAGCUAGUUAAAUAAGGAAAAUAAUGUAAGAUCCAGAAAGUAAGUAAUUAAAAUAUCAUUUUUCCAGAAUGUAUAAUUGUAUAAGUUCAAAAUUCAGAAUCAUCUACAGAUAAAUUAGAAUUAAUGACUUGCUGCCUUAUGAAAUAAAAGAACCAUAUAUAACAAGUGAGUAUAUCUUUACAACAACCUUAGAAUUUCCCACACUCAACAAUUCAAUUACAGAAUAUUAUAAAUUCCACUUAUAUCAAAUCCUGUAUUACCUUAUGACGUCAAGUAUUAACUUUGCCACUCUAUUUGACAUUGCAAGCCACCAAUCCAUGUCUAGCAAUUUUAACCUUCUGACUUUAUUCUAUUUUUAUUUUCAUAGCACACCUCUCUUUGUAACUAAAUACAUUAUUUAUUUAUUUAUUGUAUAUAUAAUUUAUUAUCUGUUUUUCCCUAAGUUCCCUGUGGAUGUGACUUAUGCUUGUUUUAUUCAUUGUUGUAUCUCAUAUGUGUAGAUCUGUGUUUGGUACAUAAUAGGGACUCAUUUCUGUAAGGGUUGUUUGACCUCAUGGGAUACCACCAAUUCACUCCAUUAUCAUUGCCACUCUUUAGGUUCUGAAAAGGUGAAUUGAAUUACGUGAAUUGAAUUGCGUGUUAUUAAAAACGUUUUUAC